rnacentral:rRNA from 1 species
UGGGGGAUAUUGCACAAUGGGCGCAAGCCUGAUGCAGCGACGCCGCGUGGGGGAUGAAGGCCUCCGGGUUGUAAACUUCUUUUGCUCUGAACAAGGCGCACUUUGGGGUGUGUUGAGUGUAGGGGUUGAUUAGCGCCGGCUAACUACGUGCCAGCAGCCGCGGUAAUACGUAGGGCGCGAGCGUUGUCCGGAAUUAUUGGGCGUAAAGGGCUUGUAGGUGGCUGGUUGCGUCUGUCGUGAAAGCUCAUGGCUUAACUGUGGGUUUGCGGUGGGUACGGGCUGGCUUGAGUGCAGUAGGGGAGGCUGGAAUUCCUGGUGUAGCGGUGGAAUGCGCAGAUAUCAGGAGGAAUACCGGUGGCGAAGGCGGGUCUCUGGGCUGUUACUGACACUGAGGAGCGAAAGCAUGGGGAGCGAACAGG